rnacentral:rRNA from 1 species
UAGGGAAUCUUCCGCAAUGGACGCAAGUCUGACGGAGCAACGCCGCGUGAGUGAAGAAGGAUUUCGGUUCGUAAAACUCUGUUGUUAGAGAAGAACAGCGCAUAGAGUAACUGUUAUGCGUGUGACGGUAUCUAACCAGAAAGCCACGGCUAACUACGUGCCAGCAGCCGCGGUAAUACGUAGGUGGCAAGCGUUGUCCGGAUUUAUUGGGCGUAAAGCGAGCGCAGGCGGUCAAUUAAGUCUGAUGUGAAAGCCCCCGGCUCAACCGGGGAGGGUCAUUUGAAACUGGUUGACUUGAGUGCAGAAGAGGAGAGUGGAAUUCCAUGUGUAGCGGUGAAAUGCGUAGAUAUAUGGGGGAACACCAGUGGCGAAGGCGACUCUCUGGUCUGUAACUGACGCUGAGGUUCGAAAGCGUGGGUAGCAAACAGG